rnacentral:rRNA from 1 species
AGCGAACGCUGGCGGCAGGCUUAACACAUGCAAGUCGAGCGGGCACUUCGGUGUCAGCGGCAGACGGGUGAGUAACACGUGGGAACGUACCCUUCGGUUCGGAAUAACGCUGGGAAACUAGCGCUAAUACCGGAUACGCCCUUUUGGGGAAAGGUUUACUGCCGAAGGAUCGGCCCGCGUCUGAUUAGCUAGUUGGUGGGGUAAUGGCCUACCAAGGCGACGAUCAGUAGCUGGUCUGAGAGGAUGAUCAGCCACACUUGGACUGAGACACGGCCCAGACUCCUACGGGAGGCAGCAGUGGGGAAUAUUGGACAAUGGGCGCAAGCCUGAUCCAGCCAUGCCGCGUGAGUGAUGAAGGCCUUAGGGUUGUAAAGCUCUUUUGUCCGGGACGAUAAUGACGGUACCGGAAGAAUAAGCCCCGGCUAACUUCGUG